UUAUACCGUGAAACUGCGAAUGGCUCAUUAAAUCAGUUAUCGUUUAUUUGAUAGUACCUUACUACAUGGAUAACCGUGGUAAUUCUAGAGCUAAUACAUGCUAAAAACCCCAACUUCGGGAGGGGUGUAUUUAUUAGAUAAAAAACCAAUGCCCUUCGGGGCUCCUUGGUGAUUCAUAAUAACUUCUCAGAUCGCAUAGCCUUGAGCUGGCGACGGUUCAUUCAAAUUUCUGCCCUAUCAACUUUCGAUGGUAAGGUAGUGGCUUACCAUGGUUUCAACGGGUAACGGGGAAUUAGGGUUCGAUUCCGGAGAGGGAGCCUGAGAAACGGCUACCACAUCCAAGGAAGGCAGCAGGCGCGCAAAUUACACAAUUCCGAUACGGAGAUGUAGUGACAAUAAAUACUGAUACAGGGCUCUUUUGGGUCUUGUAAUUGGAAUGAGUACAAUUUAAACCUCUUAACGAGGAACAAUUGGAGGGCAAGUCUGGUGCCAGCAGCCGCGGUAAUUCCAGCUCCAAUAGCGUAUAUUAAAGUUGUUGCAGUUAAAAAGCUCGUAGUUGAACCUUUGGCCUGGCUGGCAGGUCCGCCUCACCGCGUGCACUUGUCCGGCCGGGCCUUUUCUUCUGGAGAACCGCAUGCCCUUCACUGGGUGUGUUGGGGACCAGGACUUUUACUUUGAAAAAAUUAGAGUGUUCAAAGCAGGCCUUUGCUCGAAUACGUUAGCAUGGAAUAAUAGAAUAGGACGUCGCGGUCCUAUUUUGUUGGUUUCUAGGACCGCCGUAAUGAUUAAUAGGGACAGUCGGGGGCAUCAGUAUUCAAUUGUCAGAGGUGAAAUUCUUGGAUUUAUUGAAGACUAACUACUGCGAAAGCAUUUGCCAAGGAUGUUUUCAUUAAUCAGUGAACGAAAGUUAGGGGAUCGAAGACGAUCAGAUACCGUCGUAGUCUUAACCAUAAACUAUGCCGACUAGGGAUCGGGCGGUGUUUCUAAUGUGACCCGCUCGGCACCUUACGAGAAAUCAAAGUGUUUGG
rnacentral:rRNA from 1 species